AAAAAAUGAAUAAAAAAUAACCUAAUUGAACUAAAAUUUCAAAUAAAUCUCAAAUCAAUUGAAAAAUUGAUGAGAAUAUUUUUCAUAGAUCUAUCAUCAUUCAAAUAGGUUAGGACAAUAUUUUUGUAUUUUUUAAAUAUCAAAAACUAUUUAAAAUGAAUUAAAAAUAACCAAAAAAGAGAAAAUUCACAAAAAAAUAUCAAAUGACAAAAUAAAAAAUAUUAAAAAUCAAAAUUAGAAACUAGAAAUUAUUUGGAGAAGAAUGCAAUUGGUGCCAUAUUUUUUGGAAUUAAAAUGAAGAAGAUAUGAAUUUUUGAAUAUUAGAAACUAGAAAUUAUUUGGAGAAGAAUGCAAUUGGUGCCAUAUUUUUUGGAAUUAAAAUGAAGAAGAUAUGAAUUUUUGAAAAUAAUGGAAAUAAAAGAAAUUAAAUCAGAAAAUAG
rnacentral:lncRNA from 1 species